rnacentral:rRNA from 1 species
UACGAAGGGUGCAAGCGUUAAUCGGAAUUACUGGGCGUAAAGCGUGCGCAGGCGGUCUUUUAAGUCAGAUGUGAAAUCCCCGGGCUUAACCUGGGAACUGCGUUUGAAACUGGAAGGCUUGAGUGUGGCAGAGGAGACUGGAAUUCCCGGUGUAGCGGUGAAAUGUGUAGAGAUCGGGAGGAACACCGGUGGCGAAGGCGGGUCUCUGGGCAUUCCUGACGCUGAGGCGCGAAGCG